rnacentral:rRNA from 1 species
UACGGGGGGGGCAAGCGUUGUCCGGAAUUAUUGGGCGUAAAGAGCUCGUAGGCGGUCUGUCGCGUCUGCUGUGAAAACUCGGGGCUUAACCCCGGGCCUGCAGUGGGUACGGGCAGACUAGAGUGCGGUAGGGGAGACUGGAAUUCCUGGUGUAGCGGUGAAAUGCGCAGAUAUCAGGAGGAACACCGGUGGCGAAGGCGGGUCUCUGGGCAGUAACUGACGCUGAGGAGCGAAAGCGUGGGGAGCGAACAGG